rnacentral:rRNA from 1 species
GAUGAACGCUGGCGGCGUGCUUAACACAUGCAAGUCGAACGAAGCACUCUACUUGAUCUCUUCGGAGUGAUUGUUUUGUGACUGAGUGGCGGACGGGUGAGUAACGCGUGGGUAACCUGCCUCAUACAGGGGGAUAACAGUUGGAAACGACUGCUAAUACCGCAUAAGCGCACAGCAUCGCAUGAUGCAGUGUGAAAAACUCCGGUUGUAUGAGAUGGACCCGCGUCUGAUUAGCCAGUUGGUGGGGUAACGGCCUACCAAAGCGACGAUCAGUAGCCGACCUGAGAGGGUGACCGGCCACAUUGGGACUGAGACACGGCCCAAACUCCUACGGGAGGCAGCAGUGGGGAAUAUUGCACAAUGGGGGAAACCCUGAUGCAGCGACGCCGCGUGAGCGAAGAAGUAUUUCGGUAUGUAAAGCUCUAUCAGCAGGGAAGAAGAAAUGACGGUACCUGACUAAGAAGCACCGGCUAAAUACGUGCCAGCCGCCGCAGUAA